AGGAAAUUUAUUCACAUGUAUGUAAGAAGGGGAAAAGGGAAAAAAAUAAAACAAGAAAAGAAAACGGAAAGAAAAAAAAAACAAAACAACAGAAGAACGACAUUUCAUAACGCUUCACCACCGUUUAACCUCUUCAUCAUCUCCACCCUCUUCACCAUCUUCUUCUCUCAAAAUCUUUUACAUUCUUCCUUCAUCACAACCACCAUCGUUGCCGACGACACAACCACACCGCCACUAGAGGUGACACCAUAGAAGUAGGCAGUGCAAGGAAGAAAAGGGGGUCGUUGUUGCUGUAAUUUGGAGCAUUUGGUGCUCGAAUUAGGGGCGUUUGCAAGUUAUUUCUCAUCCCCAAUCAUCUAUAUUAGUGGAUUCCGGUUUCAUUGAGGAGCCGUAUUGACUGAGCUAGUUGGUUUGAUAUAGUUUAAAAGGUACAUGAAGGCUUAGAGUCGGGGUAUGGGCGGAGAGCAACGUCCACUAAUUUUGCGUAAAUAUAAUUAUAGUAGUUCUGUUCUGGUGCAUUUCUUAUAUAUAAUCAAUAUUUUGAGACUUAGGGUUGUAAAUAUUAAUCCACCUAAAUCUGUAUUCGGCUGGGUUGUAAUAGUUUAAAAUAAGCUUUAAUUUAGUUUUGGUGCAGGUAGUUCUUCCUUAGCGAUUACUCUCGUAAUAAUCGUGGAAUAACACGUUUGGAUUUCGAGUAGUUAUACCGGAAUUUUAUUGGUAUUUGAAUGGGUGGAGUUGUUGGAAAUUUGGAA